rnacentral:rRNA from 1 species
GAGCACGUAGGUGGGUUUGUAAGUCAGAUGUGAAAGCCUUCUGUUCAACGGGAGAAUUGCAUCUGAAACUGCUAAUCUUGAGUAUAGGAUGGGAGAAUGGAACUUCUGGUGGAGCGGUGAAAUGCGUAGAUAUCAGAAGGAACGCCGGCGGCGAAAGCGAUUCUCUGGCCUAUUACUGACACUCAGUGUGCGAAAGCUAGGGGAGCAAACGGGAUUAGAUACCCCGGUAGUCCUAGCCGUAAACGAUGGGCACUAAGUAGAGGGGAUUACCUAUGUUCUCUCUGCCGUAGCUAACGCAUUAAGUGCCCCGCCUGGGGAGUACGGCCGCAAGGCUAAAACUCAAAAGAAUUGACGGGGGCUCGCACAAGCGGUGGAGCAUGUGGCUUAAUUCGAUGCAACGCGAAAAACCUUACCGGGGCUUGACAUGAUAGAAGUAGGAACCUGAAAGGGGGACGAACGGUAUCCAGUCCGUAGCUAUUACAGGUGUUGCAUGGCUGUCGUCAGCUCGUGUCGUGAGACGUUGGGUUAAGUCCCCUAACGAGCGAAACCCUUGUUUUUAGUUACCAGCGGGUUAUGCCGGGUACUCUAGAAAGACUGCCGUCGUCAAGACGGAGGAAGGUGGGGAUGACGUCAAGUCAUCAUGGCCCUUAUGCCCCGGGCUGCACACGUGCUACAAUGGUCGGUACAGACGGAAGCGAAGCCGAGAGGUGAAGCGAAUCC